CUUAUCCAGAGCGGCGGAGGGAACAGGCCCUGUGAAGCCCGGCAACCGGACUCUUUUGAGUAGAAGGUGCCAAAUCCUGCGGAAGAUUCCGAGAGAUGAGG
rnacentral:ncRNA from 1 species